CCAAUUUUAGCGAACCUGUUCUUUUAGGUUAUGGUUUCGCGAAAAAACUGUAUUUAAAACCCCACUCUUCAUAUAAAAUAAUGGAUCUAUAUAAAUAAUAAAUAAAGA
rnacentral:misc_RNA from 1 species